rnacentral:rRNA from 1 species
UUCGGGGUACUCGAGCGGCGAACGGGUGAGUAACACGUGAGUAAUCUGCCCCAGGCUCUGGGAUAGCCACCGGAAACGGUGAUUAAUACCGGAUAUGACAACCGAUCGCAUGAUCUGGUUGUGGAAAGUUUUUCGGCCUGGGAUGUGCUCGCGGCCUAUCAGCUUGUUGGUGAGGUAAUGGCUCACCAAGGCUUCGACGGGUAGCCGGCCUGAGAGGGUGACCGGCCACACUGGGACUGAGACACGGCCCAGACUCCUACGGGAGGCAGCAGUGGGGAAUAUUGGACAAUGGGCGGAAGCCUGAUCCAGCAACGCCGCGUGAGGGAUGACGGCCUUCGGGUUGUAAACCUCUUUCAGCACAGACGAAGCGAAAGUGACGGUAUGUGCAGAAGAAGGACCGGCCAACUACGUGCCAGCAGCCGCGGUAAUACGUAGGGUCCGAGCGUUGUCCGGAAUUAUUGGGCGUAAAGGGCUCGUAGGCGGUCUGUCGCGUCGGGAGUGAAAACCAGGUGCUUAACACCUGGCCUGCUUCCGAUACGGGCAGACUAGAGGUACUCAGGGGAGAAUGGAAUUCCUGGUGUAGCGGUGAAAUGCGCAGAUAUCAGGAGGAACACCGGUGGCGAAGGCGGUUCUCUGGGAGUAUCCUGACGCUGAGGAGCGA